ACCCCUAAUGAGCCUGCCAGUAGCAUACGCUUGUCUCAAAGAUUAACCCCUUCAUGUCUAAGUAUAAGCAAUCUAUACAGUGAAACUGCGAAUGGCUCAUUAAAUCAGUUAUCGUUUAUUUGAUAGUACCUUACUACUUGGAUAACCGUGGUAAUUCUAGAGCUAAUACAUGCUAAAAACCCCGACUUCGGAAGGGGUGUAUUUAUUAAAUAAAAAACCAAUGCUCUUCGGGGCUCCUUGGUGAUUCACAAUAACUUAACGAAUCGCAUGGCCUUGUGCCGGCGAUGGUUCAUUCAAAUUUCUGCCCUAUCAACUUUCGAUGGUAGGAUAGUGGCCUACCAUGGUUUCAACGGGUAACGGGGAAUUAGGGUUCUAUUCCGGAAAGUGAGCCUGAAAAACGGCUAACACAUCCAAGGAAGGCAGCAGGCGCGCAAAUUACCCAAUCCCGACACGGGGAGGUAGUGACAAUAAAUACUGAUCCAGGGCUCUUUUGGGUCUUGGAAUUGGAAUGAGUACAAUUUAAAUCCCUUAAC
rnacentral:rRNA from 1 species